AAAAAUAUUGAACGGUUGUGAGAAAAUUGUGGUAACGCGUCUAUUCCCAUGUGCAACUUUCUGUAAUCGUACAUGUGUUGAUUCUGAACAAAAUCCAUAAAUUUGAUCACUUACAGAGUAUCGCAAUACUACGGGAAUAGACCAAACACAUUUCAAUUCAAUUUUUAGUAGAUGCACAAGAUGAAAUUAAGACUUAAACGAAUGCAAAUUUGGUUAUGAAAAACAGCAACCAAAGUCAUGUUUCAUAUUGAACGUUUCAGAGUAAUCAUGCGUAAAAAUAAACAAACUUUGCUAAAUGCUUGAUAAAUAGUAAUAGUUUCAAGUUGUGCGUAGCUGUGAAAAUAGGUAAUUGAUCUAAUAUUAAAAAAAUUUUAAAAUUGUGUAUUAGCAGUUGUUAAAUUAGACGAAUUCUAUAUCAUCUUCAAAGUACAUGCAAGUUCUAAUAAGGGAAACCUUUUUUUUACUCAUGGUCAACUUACCGAAUAUAUAUUAUUAUUAUCAUAGUAAUGAAAUUAUGUAUACAUAUGUUUUUGUCUCGUCAUUAGGAAGAGCGAAUUAUGAGCAGAUGUAGAUGUUUUACUGUCCCCAUAGAAAUACGUGAAACAUUUCAAGUACCAAAUGGAUAACUAAAAUAACUAAAACGGCCGCUAUAGAAUAAACAGAUAGUACCACCGUAGUCUUGUGUGUCUGAUAUAAUUCCACCGCUGUCACAGUGCUUAUGUCCAUAUACGGUGGCGCCUUUGUUUACAUUCGGCGAACGCUAGAAAAGUUUACAUCAUUGAUCCAUUUUUUACCAUCGGUACACUGUGAUGCAUAAUUGAUCGAACAACACAGAUUUUCAUACAAAAUGGCCAAAGGCUGGGAGGGAGAAACUGACACAAAAAUCGUGUGUGUCGCACAGCAAGCCGUGAUUUCGUUGUCAUGAGCUGUCAAAGCGAGCCCAAAAUCAAAACAACGCUUUCUACGGACGAAACUGAGGAAAGAGCGUAACUGGUAGUAAUAUUUAUUUCACAUUGAAAUCAUACAAAUUCAAUUCCAUUUUCUUCCCAUAAAAAACAUGAAAUAAUUACAACAACUUACAUGUUACGUAAUAAAAUUCAAUCAGUAACGGUGUUUUCGCUGUUUUGAACAAACAUUGACAAUGAACCACAGUAAAACAUUUAUUAUCUACUCAGUCCUUAUUCAAGGUUUGUCCGGAAAGUUACACACCAAACAAAAACGAACGAUGUGCAUGCCGGCUGUCUUGAUGGUUGUUGACACAAUGCAGUUUUCUUGAAGUACGGUGAAGUUUUGUUUUACAUUUCGUGUGUAGUAUCUAGAAUACCCAGGCCAAAGGUACCCCUUUUACUCAGGCAACAUACGAUUUUCAAAGGGUAUACAGCGAGAGAAAGAAAAAAAAAAUCCAUAGGGCCGUUAUAUGAUUUUCGUAAUGAUCGUAUAAAUUCUCAUUAAAUAUCCUUAUAAUUUCGAAAUUCGGAAUGUGCCUUAUGAACUUUUUCAGUUUCUAAAAAUGAGGAAUUAAGUAUUCACCACGGCGAAAUAAAUAUUGUCCCUACAAGUUAUGGAUCACACACAGUAACGGAUCACUUUCAUGUUUAAAGUCGAAUAUCUUGCUCAAAACAUAUGUUUCGGCACGAAAUUCAUUUUUGUAGCAUGAUUCUAUUUGUUUUCUGAGAUAAAAAGUGAUUUACAAAAGCUUAAUCUGAAAAUUAAAUGUAUUGUAUUGCAACGGUAGAGUUUUCUUCUCAUAACUGUCAGAAAAUAGCCGAAUUCCAUAAGAAGCUACUCCUGCAGUGGUAAGCUCUAUAAGUAUCGAAAUCCAUCGAUUUUGAUAUAAAAACCGCUCGUACACCUUGGAAAAGAUAUGUUUCUAUCUAUUUAGCGAAGUUUUGCUUGAUUCUGGGAUUAAAAUACAGUCCCGAUUCGUUCGUUGGCGGCUCGUUAGAUGGGCUGUCUUGAUAGUUGAAUGUACACUGGUUGGGGCAAAACCCAACUAAACAUGACAUGAAUGGAUAAGAAUUCAAGCUCCAACCAAUAAUUUUGAGAUGUGUGAACUAGUAGAAACUCCUCCAUGACAAGCGUGUAGUGGGUACUUUCAAGUCAAGUAAUAAAACUAUGUCUUAGACGGAGACCCAGUCCGUCCCAAGGUCCGUCCUCUACCCAUUCCCUACCAGUUGUACUGAUAACUGCUCUUUACAAUCCGUUCGUCCAGUUAAAGCGUGAAAACGAACGUUAUGGUCAUCCAAGAUUUACGCUUUUGGAAUGAGUUUACCCGACUCUUGAUCAAUUCCUCUGCGAAGGCCUUGACAUUACUCUAAUUAGUUGAUAAGUCAUACUGUAUCUACUUCAAAAUCCUAAAAUAUAGAUACUCGUCAUCCAACAUGUUUAAAUUUUCCUUUUGUCUGUCUCGGCUUUGGUAUCAAGUAAUGAGCAGUGUAUGGCGGAACCGUGAGGGUUCCUGAUAGUAUUUUCAAUACAGAGUCAACUGUAUCAAAAUGUUCAUACUUUGCCCUCUUUGCCCAGACAGAACAUGUCGUGGGCGUGGCACAACUUAGUAAGAAUUUGGUUGUAGUCUUAGCAAAUACCGAUUAUAAAUCAGUGCCAGGAUCUCACAUCAUGCACACUAUCCAGAUCCGGAUAGUAGAGAACAGAAAACGCUUUUGAAUUUCAUCUACGAGGUCUUAUUGUUCUGCUGCCGUCAGUGCCAGUGGCCAGCAUCGCAGAGUUUUUUUUUGUACACAUCCAAUUCUUUUCUUACGAUUAAUUCUUUUGGCAUUUUGUUUCUACCUCAUCUCAUGUUUCGUAGCAUCAUGUAUGUCCAGCAAUAUCAACCUAAAAUGAAAAAUUCAAGGAAUUAAAUACAUAUGAAAUUAUUGCUAUUGAAUUUCCAUUUCCGAAAACUAGUUCAGGAAUUUUUGACGUUUUUUCAUCAACAAUGAAAAUUUUCAACGGCAAAGAGCUUGCUUGGAUCAAACCAUAGUUAAAUUAUAUUGUCGGCAAGAAUUGUCAGAGAGGGGUGAGUCAGAAUUUAUGGAAAGCCAGCGUAAAAUGCUGGA